rnacentral:rRNA from 1 species
UACGUAGGGUGCAAGCGUUGUCCGGAAUUAUUGGGCGUAAAGGGCUCGUAGGCGGUCCAUCGCGUCGGGAGUGAAAAGCUGGGGCUCAACCCCAGUCCUGCUUUCGAUACGGGUGGACUAGAGGUAGGCAGGGGAGAACGGAAUUCCUGGUGUAGCGGUGAAAUGCGCAGAUAUCAGGAGGAACACCGGUAGCGAAGGCGGUUCUCUGGGCCUUACCUGACGCUGAGGAGCGAAAGCGUGGGGAGCAAACAGG